GAUGAACGCUAGCUACCGUCUUAACACAUGCAAGUCGAGGGGCAUCAGGAAGAAAGCUUGCUUUCUUUGCCGGCGACCGGCGCACGGGUGAGUAACACGUAUCCAACCUGCCCUUUACUUGGGGAUAGCCUUUCGAAAGAAAGAUUAAUACCCGAUGGCAUAAUGAUUCCGCAUGGUUUCAUUAUUAAAGGAUUCCGGUAAAGGAUGGGGAUGCGUUCCAUUAGGUUGUUGGUGAGGUAACGGCUCACCAAGCCUUCGAUGGAUAGGGGUUCUGAGAGGAAGGUCCCCCACAUUGGAACUGAGACACGGUCCAAACUCCUACGGGAGGCAGCAGUGAGGAAUAUUGGUCAAUGGGCGGUAGCCUGAACCAGCCAAGUAGCGUGAAGGAUGAAGGCUCUAUGGGUCGUAAACUUCUUUUAUAUAAGAAUAAAGUGCAGUAUGUAUACUGUUUUGUAUGUAUUAUAUGAAUAAGGAUCGGCUAACUCCGUGCCAGCAGCCGCGGUAAUACGGAGGAUCCGAGCGUUAUCCGGAUUUAUUGGGUUUAAAGGGAGCGUAGGUGGACUGGUAAGUCAGUUGUGAAAGUUUGCGGCUCAACCGUAAAAUUGCAGUUGAUACUGUCAGUCUUGAGUACAGUAGAGGUGGGCGGAAUUCGUGGUGUAGCGGUGAAAUGCUUAGAUAUCACGAAGAACUCCGAUUGCGAAGGCAGCUCACUGGACUGCAACUGACACUGAUGCUCGAAAGUGUGGGUAUCANACAGG
rnacentral:rRNA from 1 species